AGAAUCAACGCUGGCGGCGUGCCUAACACAUGCAAGUCGCACGAGAAAGCGGACUUCGGUCUGUGAGUAAAGUGGCGCACGGGUGAGUAACACGUGAAUGGUCUACCUCCGAGUGGGGAAUAACUGAGAGAAAUCUUAGCUAAUACCGCAUAACACUUAUGAGUCAAAGCAGCAAUGCGCUUGGAGAGGAGUUCGCGGCAGAUUAGUUAGUUGGCGGGGUAAUGGCCCACCAAGACAAUGAUCUGUA
rnacentral:rRNA from 1 species